CCUACGGGCGGCAGCAGUGAGGAAUAUUGGUCAAUGGACGAGAGUCUGAACCAGCCAAGUAGCGUGAAGGAUGACUGCCCUAUGGGUUGUAAACUUCUUUUAUAUGGGAAUAAAACGUUCCACGUGUGGGAUUUUGUAUGUACCAUAUGAAUAAGGAUCGGCUAACUCCGUGCCAGCAGCCGCGGUAAUACGGAGGAUCCGAGCGUUAUCCGGAUUUAUUGGGUUUAAAGGGAGCGUAGGUGGAUUGUUAAGUCAGUUGUGAAAGUUUGCGGCUCAACCGUAAAAUUGCAGUUGAAACUGGCAGUCUUGAGUGCAGUAGAGGUGGGCGGAAUUCGUGGUGUAGCGGUGAAAUGCUUAGAUAUCACGAAGAACUCCGAUUGCGAAGGCAGUUCACUGGACUGCAACUGACACUGAGGCUCGAAAGUGUGGGUAUCAAACAGGAUUAGAUACCCGAGUAGUC
rnacentral:rRNA from 1 species